rnacentral:rRNA from 1 species
GUCUAAGGACAUACCACCCUGGCCGUGCCCAAUUUCAGAAGCUAAGCAGGGCUGGGCCUGAUUAAUAUUUGGAAGGGAGAAAAAGAUGUCUAGAAC